ACGGAAGGCAGCAGUGGGGAAUAUUGCACAAUGGGGGAAACCCUGAUGCAGCGACGCCGCGUGAGUGAAGAAGUUAUUCGUAAUGUAAAGCUCUAUCAGCAGGGAAGAAAAUGACGGUACCUGACUAAGAAGCCCCGGCUAACUACGUGCCAGCAGCCGCGGUAAUACGUAGGGGGCAAGCGUUAUCCGGAUUUACUGGGUGUAAAGGGAGCGUAGACGGUCUGGCAAGCCUGAUGUGAAAGGCAGGGGCUCAACUCCUGGACUGCAUUGGAAACUGUCAGUCUUGAGUGUCGGAGAGGUAAGCGGAAUUCCUAGUGUAGCGGUGAAAUGCGUAGAUAUUAGGAGGAACACCAGUGGCGGAGGCGGCUUACUGGACGAUAACUGACGUUGAGGCUCGAAAGCGUGGGGAGCAAACAGGAUUAGAUACCCUGGUA
rnacentral:rRNA from 1 species